UGGUUACUUUUUUCAUUUUAUAUUAAUGGCCCUGUUUUGUGUCAAUCUAGCAAAAACCUGCCUCUAACAUGUCUAUAACUGACUAAAACUUAAAGCCUGCUCUAAACUUAAAGAUUGAUUUUAACUAGAAGAGGUUUUAACUUUCGACUAUAACUACGGGCCAAUGUGUUUAAAGACAUUUUUAUCAAAAGACCAUAUCCACAAAUUGUAUGUGU